UAUGUGUAGACGUGGUAGCGCUUGCUACCUG
rnacentral:sRNA from 1 species